CGUCGAGUGGCGAACGGGUGAGUAACACGUGGGUGAUCUGCCCUGCACUUCGGGAUAAGCUUGGGAAACUGGGUCUAAUACCGGAUAGGAGCCAUCUUUAGUGUGGUGGUUGGAAAGUUUUCUAGGUGUAGGAUGAGCUCGCGGCCUAUCAGCUUGUUGGUGGGGUAAUGGCCUACCAAGGCGGCGACGGGUAGCCGGCCUGAGAGGGUGUACGGCCACAUUGGGACUGAGAUACGGCCCAG
rnacentral:rRNA from 1 species